CCUAGGGGUGGAUGUGUGUAGUGUACAGUCCAGCUGCACGCUGGGGAGAGGGUAUGUGGAAGUAGUGUUUGGGCAUCCGUGAGGGCAUUGGGGAGGGAGGUGGAAUCAGUGAUGAGUGUUUGUGUACAGCAGGAACCGUGUGUGUGAGCUGAGCACUUAGGUGCACACAUGUUGGCUGGUGGCUUUGGGUUUCCUCACAUCUGCAAGGCCUCCUUCCCCAUCUGCCUGUGGAUGACCCAGGCGACUGUAUCCCUCAUGCCCCCUUGGCCUUCUUUGCACAGUGCUGGAACUGUGAGUGCCAGGCGUGGGGCCUGCCUGGCCAUGAUGUGGCAGGUGCUCCUGUCUAUCCCCUCCCUGUCAGCCCCGUGUGUGUGUGUGUGUGUGUGUGUGUGUGUGUGUGUGUGUGGCCCGCCUACCCGCCUCUCUGGAUGCCAAGUGCUGUGUGCGUGUCACCAGGCCUGUGUCGUGCUGUGUGUGGGUGCAGGAAGGCGGGGGGUGCCUGGCAGGGCUCUGUUGGGGGUGGCGCUCGGGUAGGCGGCUGUCCGCAACAGUGCCCAGCAGCCAAUGUGGGAAGCAGUGCCUCCUGCCCUGGCGCCGCUCAGGGCCACCCUCUGGUUCCCUGUCCCUGCAGGGCGCAUGUACCAUGACGGCUGCCUUCCUGCACUUCUUCUUUCUGUCCUCAUUUUGCUGGGUACUCACUGAGGCCUGGCAGUCCUACCUGGCUGUCAUUGGGCGUGAUGCGCACCCGCCUCCUGCUCGCAAGCGCUUCCUCUGCCUGGGCUGGGGUCUGCCCGCCCUGGUGGUGGCUGUGUCUGUUGGCUUUACCCGCACCAAAGGAUAUGGUACAUCCAGCUACCCCAGGAGCUGGACCUGAUGUUCUUGACUUUCGCUGGAGGGGAAACUGAGGCUCAGCAAAGGCCAAUGGCUCCAUCUCACCCCAUUGAGGCUGGAUCUCCAUUAGUGAUCUGCUGGCUUUCCCUGAAGGUGGCCUGCUGUAUGCCUUUGUGGGACUCUGCAGCUGUCAUUGUCCUGGUAUGUGCCCCUUUCAGGGGUUCUGGGAGGGAUGUGGCCU
rnacentral:lncRNA from 1 species